UGUUUUUGUUUUUUCUUCUUCUCUCCAGUGGUUCAUAGAGCUGAAAGAUAUCAAAGAGUACAAAACCAAGAAGGAUAUUUUUAUGCUUGCGGAGUAUGACCCGAAACUCAAGGAAACAGUUCGUCAUAAGUUUCAGUCUAAUAUGGCACAUGACAUUGGAUAUGCCAUGUUGUGUGUGUUUUCCUACAUUGCCGCAGCUAGAAGUGCAGACAGUCAUACACGAAAGGAAUUGGAAGCAAGGAUGGCAGGACGUCGACGCCAAUUUCUUCACUCUCCUUGAGCAGUGUUGUGGUUUCGUAUCACAUUCUGCUUGUUUCUUUGUUGAUUGUUACUAGGGUUAUUCAAUCAUGACAAUGUAAUGUAAAUUAUAAGGGUGUUUGUAGAAAACAAAGUAUACUUGUAUGUUAAGUUAAAAUGUCUUCCCGGACCUCCAAAAGCUCUCUUUUUUCGGGGUUGAAUAAUUAACUUUGUGCGUGUUCAUAAAGUUAUUGUAACAUUUGGUGAUAAGUGCAAUUACAUGUAAAGGCACGGUGAGUUUUCGACCCUCCCAAGUCUACUUGCACUCAUAGAGCUAUAUUAAAUACUAGAGCGCUGACACAUGUACAAAGUGAUGCCUGCUGGGCGUCUCAGUGUUUGUGCACAAACCUAUAGAAAACUCGAAUUUUGUACAGCUGUUUACAUAACUGCGUUUGCAGUAUAUACAGGUUACCGAACGAUCAGCAAACGAGCGUUUCAUUUUGCUCUGAACAAACGGUGCAACGCGUGUGCGUAUCCGCUGGAGAUGCUUUUUGCCGUGACGUUUUUUUAACCGUCAUGAAGCAAUAACUCAGUUACUUGCACUCUACUUGCCCGUAGAACAACUACCAAUGCAUAUUUAUCUGGAGAUUCGCUUGGAGUUCUCACACACAGUCUUACCAACUAUGCAUGCUCUGCGGUGUACUCACAUGUAAUUCCUCAAAAGUUACGUUAAGCUACAUACUUACCCUCCGAUGCCUCUAAUCAAUGAGGCCCAGCUUCUUCCCCUAAUGCCCAACAAUUUGCUGUCUGUGACGAAUACAGACGACGUUGGAAGGGGAAUUUUCUUACUUUAUCCCCGCGGGUUGACGGCGUGUUAAUUUUUGUCGGUUUACCGAUGAUUUGCAAUAUUCUUCGUCAGAAUUAUUUCGGAAUGCCCCAGCCCUCAUCCGAGUCCCUUCGGAACCUGUCGCCAAAGCAAGCAAGGAACGCUACUCCAAAUGAAAAAUAAUACGCCGAAACGAACGAGCUGAGUUUAUUUCCGCUGCCGACUUCAUUGUAAGCUUGUAAGGUACAACAUCACGAACCCCACCACUGAGUCAUGUCGCCACUAACUGGGCACUCUUUCCAAUAUUGCACCAAGCAUGGGGCGACUUGCCCAGUUCCCUCGGACGCCCCAUACAGACUUGACCAUGGAAGGGCUGAUAAAUGACAAGCCACUCCUCGGAACACUUUCACUCAAUUUUGCGGUACCACCAAAAUCAAUUUUGGUUUUUGUCUCUAUUUUUUUUCCAGACAAGAAAGUUUACUCCAGGUUUAAGAUGACGAACAUUACGUUUUCCCAUUACGGCCGUGGGGCCGUCUCCAAAACUUAAUGUGGAUUGUCGCCGAUCGCAGGUGUUCCAAACACAAUAAUUUUGGAAGCAAGGAUUCAAUCCUACCUAACGCAUUGCUGUACUUACAGAUCAGGUCUGAGAAGAAUCAACAUGUUUUUCAAUCGACUUUUUGUCACUCAUCAAAGAAGGUGGAAUAUGGCGGAACAUCUUAAAUCUGAAUAUUUUAAUCAAAUCGCUCAGUAGUCGGUCGGAUGUACUUGUAGCUAUAGGUGUCUCAAAUCCUGUCAAUUGGCAUUAAAUUCCCAAAUUGUUUCAAAGAAACAUGACCUUGUAUGCCUCCCUGUCGGGCUAGGAAGCCACAUUAAAUCCUUGUCGAAUAGUGAGAAUGUGGCAGAAAGCUGCUCAUAACGAAAGAAGGUCACAAAGGUGAUGAUCAGCUUGUAACUGGGUUGAAUGAAUGGUCGAGUGUUGCUGAAAGAUAAACCAGUCAUACUGUUGUGUUAAAGGUGCUUUUUUUUCGCGGGAGUUUGAAAACCUUGGACAUCUUUUUUAAGCACCUGGACAAGGUGACAUUG